rnacentral:rRNA from 1 species
AAAUGAAUAGACGGGGGCCCGCACAAGCGGAGGAGCAUGUGGUUUAAUUCGAUGAUACGCGAGGAACCUUACCCGGGCUUGAACGUAAGACGAAUAUUUUGGAAACAGAAUAGCCUUCGGGCGUCUUGCGAGGUGCUGCAUGGUUGUCGUCAGCUCGUGCCGUGAGGUGUUAGGUUAAGUCCUGCAACGAGCGCAACCCUUACACAUAGUUGCCAGCAUGUCAUGGUGGGGACUCUAUGUGAACUGCCUACGCAAGUAGAGAGGAAGGUGGGGAUGACGUCAAAUCAGCACGGCCCUUAUGUUCGGGGCUACACACGUGCUACAAUGGCAUGUACAGAGGGCAGCUACCACGCGAGUGGAUGCUAAUCUUUAAAGCAUGUCUCAGUUCGGAUUGGAGUCUGUAACUCGACUCUAUGAAGUUGGAUUCGCUAGUAAUCGCGCAUCAGCCAUGGCGCGGUGAAUACGUUCCCGGGCCUUGUACACACCGCCCGU